GACAGAGCUGGGUUCAGAGCAUGCAGGGCAGGAAGAAGACCAGGUUUAUUUACAAAAACCUACUUUUAUACAUUUCCUAUGAGGCCUGUGGAUUGGAGGAUGGAAUUCCCACCUCCCCACCACAUUGGUCAAGGAGACUGUCAUUCAACCUCCCCUUCUCCUUGAGAAGGAAUUCAUAACAAGGGCAGUGUUUACAAAAUAUGGUCCUGUGUUUACAUUCAUGAGCACGAGAAACUGCACAUUUCUCCUUUAAUAUGAACGCUCGGCAAACCAGGAAAAAAACCUCAUGGCAACGGGUGACAAAUAACAGGGCCCACUGUGGAGGUCACUGAGGAAAUGAUGCUGAGAAUUCACUCCCUGGACAGACAAAGAAGAGCAUUAGGGAAGCACACACAAGCAGAUGUGCUGAUGGGAUGUGCUGAAGUACAGAAUAUCCCAGUGGUUCAGAUUUGUUUACUUUGUGGUAAGUCUCACAGAGACCUCUUCUGACACAAAGCAAUCUUGUCCUGUGUGCUGGUAGAGAGCUCAGUCCUUACUGAAGAAACAGGAGGCCUUCUCUUUCUCGAAGAGUUAAAGUGCCCUAAGGAAGCAGCGAUCAACAGACAUGAACUGGUGGUCACAAGCACAAGAGCUGCAUCUUCCCUGGACGUGUUGGAGGAAGGGUAAAAGCUUCAUGGAGAGCUCUCCAUCUGUUACAAAAAUCAGCAAGGGGACAGAGCAGAAAACAUGCUAACAGAAUGUGUACUCUCUAAGCAACAUUUAUUCUAUGUAUAGAAAAGGAAAAGAUAGAAAGAAUCAAACCUGAUCUAUAUCAGGCCUUCUUCAAGCUCCAGAAAUAAAAUAAAAGCAUAUCUGACUGCUUUUGUCAAUGCAUACCUACUUCCUCACAGCCCAUUUCAGACCACCUUCUAGAGUAAUAGAGAUUACUGCAACACGUGUACUACAGCCUUUUCACUUCUGAGGUGAAUAUUAGUACAAAAAAACAAUAUACUGGGCAAAAUAUGCAGGAGCAGGAGAUCAUUUUAUUCAUUUAGAAAGGAGCACAUGAAAUGGAAAAGAAAGAAAUGAAUGUGUAAAAGGAAGAGGGGAAUGAGAUUGGGAUUGUCAGUUCAAGAAGAUACAGCCCUGAGAAGCAGGAUCUGAGAAACAGUCAGUGACUGAAUCCUUUGUGUUAAUAAAAAAGAAAACCUUUUAGACAGAUAGAUGGAAGAUGAGCUUAAGAAUUUCUGACUUUGAGGAAGGAGAUUGAAGUCUCUGAACUACCUUCUUGUCAUUUAAAAAAAAAACUAUUUUUCAUAUAUUUUAGAAGAUAGUUCAGCUAGAAGAAAUGCAUAGUUACAGUAGAGAUAAAUGUUUUCAUAUUAUGCAGUGUUCAAAAAGGUAAUUGCAAAUACAUUUAGAAGAUAAAAUUUUUAUUCAUUUAAAAGAACUACAUUCAAAACAUGGCAAAUUAUUAUCUUGUAAGUAGAAUUUUAUUAGUAGAGUUGUAUUAAUAGAAUUAUUAUUUUCCUCUCCUCCCUGGUUGUUAUAAUCUUUCUCUGUUUAUCUAUUUUGGAUUUUUUUUCUUUUAGCUUAAAAAGGGUAUGUGCUCAUUCUCUGCAUUUUCUUCAAAGCAGAAAACAAUCCAGUAAACAUUAGGACUGAACUCUCAACCCAACUCUGUAAAAGUAGAAUCAUAAUUAGGCAAAGUUAGUUUGUCUGCUGCUGUGUGUAAACAAGUUGAAUAACUUCAUUAUUUUCAAGCUUUGCCCCUACAUUAGAAUAAUUCACACUACUUUAGGGAAAUGACACCUGCUAAUUAACCACAAGCAGACAAAGCACUUUAACAGCCAUAAUCAGUCAUUUUCUCCUGCAGUUUAAAAAAGAAUUUAAAAAAAUAAGAAGAAAGAAGAAAAGAUCAAAACCUUUGUGACAAGAUGUUUCCAUGAAUCAUCCUCUUGAGGAAACCUUACUGCUUGAAGAAGAUUCAAAUAUAAUAAGUCACACAUCUGUUCAGACUAGGAAUUAAGUAAAGUCACAUAUAUGCUCCAUUGUAUUUUAGAGACACCUGUUUGGGAGUUAGUUCCACCUAAAAAUAGAUAUUUAAAACGAUCAAUAUGUACAGUCAAUAUGUAUUUAUUGAAUGACUCAUUCCUAACAGAGGUUUCUAUAACAAUGAACCAGUAAGUUCCCAAAGUUCCCUCCCUCCCUCUCCACUGACAACCUUGCCUUUGGUGUACACAUCAGCACUGCAGAUGACUGAAGUAAAGUGGUGUGAAUCACAACCUGACAAUCCUGUCCCCAAAAAAUUUACAUUCAACAUGCACAAGAGAAAGUAUCUGCAAAAGCAAAUAUUAUUCCUAUUUUGUAGUGAGAAGAUGAAGCAUGAAAAAUGAAUCCCCUACACAUGGUUUCACUGAAAGUCUGUCAUGGAAUGAGAAGUAAAAACCAAACUGCUGGUGUCCUGCUUGAGGAACGCUAUAGUCCUAAUUAUGCCUUUUCUUCCUCUGCUUUCACAUUCUAAGAUCCUGAAGAAUUGUUUCAAUUGGAUUUUUAAGAGUUCCUAUAAAUCGGAAUUUCUCAAUUCAUUUGCAACAAUUUAGAAAGUACUUUGCAUGUCCUGGUGGGAUACUGCAUUAACCAAAACUGUGCUGAUACUCUCCAGAAUUGAUAGAAAAGGUUAAAACAGGUUAAAAGGUUAAAACAGGUUAAAAAGUUAAAACCUUCUCGUUCCUUCAUUCACUCAAUACCUAUAUUGAGCGGGAAGGAUUUACUUUCUGGGACAUACUAGGGAAAACCCCUUAAGCUAAAAGUGAAAGACAAGAAAAUGGUUUCACAGGAACUGGUAGUAGGAAAACUAAAUAUAAAAUCACAAAACCCAGAUAUUGCUGUCUCAGUUCUGCAGUAGUUUGGAGAAAAAAUGAUCCCUGGGGAAAAGUGCUGAAACAGCAAAAGAAAUGAUGGAAAUCCACUUAAGAAACUUAGAUUGUGAAUGUUAUUCACAAAAGGAAAUGGGACUCCAAGAACAAAGGAAAAAGUCUCACGCUUUCAGACACAUACCAAGAGAAGUGAGCAAGUUUGAUAUUUCCAUUUUAUGAGUAAGAACCAGUUAGACCCUAUUAUAAGGAGAUGCUGAACAGGCCAAAGAGCUACAGUCUUUUUCUCAUCACAAUGGCUUGCAGCAUGUCAGGCAAUUCCAGUGUUAGACCUUUCAUCCUUUGACCCCACUGUCCAUCUCCAGAGAUGUACUGAUCUCCAUCAUUAUUUUUCUAGGUAUCUGCAUACCUUUUAACAAUCCUUCAGCCAAGUUAGUACAGUCUUCAUCCAAAAUUUGUUAUUUUUUAAACCACAGCUACAGCAGUUGCCACAAAGUUAUCAUACACUUUGAUCGGCUUCUGGAAGAGUUUACAUACUGUGCUUGCUUGAGAUGACAGGAGACACAAAGUUUUCAUUAAUCAUUAAAAAAGGAGCUGACAGGAAAUCUCACUCUUCAGAUCAUGUAAAGGAUUCCUUGUGGUCUUUGCUUUGAGAAAUAGUCUGAUAUCUCCACUUUGUGCUUGGUUUUGUAUUUGGGUAUGUGAAAUCUCUGCAGGUGAGAGAAGUACAUUUCCUUUCCGUGGUGAAAUUGCACACAGAUUGGCUGAGCUGAAUAGUGUUGUGCAUGGCUAUUUCCUCAGCUUUUCCAGGAGAAUGUUAUCAAUUGCUGCAAUCCUAGAACACUCCAGAGAACCUCAUGCAAGACAGUACCAAAAAUGCAGCCUGGGAACUGAAGCCAACAACGCUGCUCUAGGAACACUGAAGGGGAUAGCUGGUUAUCAUUUUUGACAGAGAGUGACCCAAACUUAUCUUAAUGUCUUGCAACCACCAUAUAUCUGCAAUUCUUCCUUGGUUGACUUUCUGUGCAGUCCUGUUGCUGAGGGACAGAGAACUGAUCUCCUGUACAGAUGUAAGACAGUGAUAUCCUGUGCUGUGACACUGUGGCUGAUCAGGAUUUUCUGGCAUGUAACAGUAAUGAGUUCUACCUUUUCUCUACCAAAACAUAUACAAAAAUAUUCUAAAAGACAUUGCUUAGGCUGUAAAGUCCAUGUCCUGUAAAUUAGAGGAUCUCAAGAUAAAAUUAAUUAAUAUUUGUAAAUGUAUUGAAAGGUCUCAUGGAAAUAUGACCUUGCCCAAUAUUUUAAAGACAUGUCAGAAACAGGGAUAAAUACUCUUAUUUGGCAUUUCUUAACAUUUAAUUCAUUUAACAAUCCAACCCAAUGCAAGUAAUUUUUCUUUACUGUUGUUAUUUUUGUUGUGUGGUUUUGGUUUUUUUUUAAAUUGUAAUUACAGGCAUGUACAUGUACUUGUUUAUGCUCAUAUAAAUUUAUAAUACUGGGAAAAAGCUGUGUUUUCCAUUCAGCAUGAAAUGUCUUGCUUGACUUGCUUCCCUGUAAUGAUUCUUGAAUGAGAUAAGAAAAAUAAAAAGGCUAAAGACCUCAUGAACUCUGUGCUACACCUGUAAUUACAGUACUUAAGGGUUCUUAACCACACUGCAGAAGAAUAAAAGGAAACGAUCUCAACAUAAGCACUCUUGGGUACAUCCUAAAUCUGUUCACUUUUUUCUCAGCCCACCACCUCCCACCAGCUGACCUAAUGAACAAAUCCUUUCUGACUUCAGAAAAAUCUACAUUUUAGCCAUUCCAGCUGGGAACAAGCAAGGUUGUACGCUGCCAUGGCAGCAGUAACACUGAGAAUGGGAUAAGUAGAAAAGGUGACAAAGGCAGCCAAAAAUAACAAGUGCUAAAGAAGUAGGAUUCUGUUUAUCUGUGGUUAGGUGGAUGGGGUUAAGCCCUCCACCUAAGCCUGGUGCUUAGGAGCCCUGGCUAUGGAAGUGUCUUAAACCCCAAGUGUCAGCGUGGGAUCUGUGGUGAUAGGUUGCUAUCUUAGAAAAUCACUGGCAUUUGACAAGAUCUCAUUUGCCCAGUCCACAGAGGAUGCUCUGUUUCAGCUCACAUACCAAUUCAUAGUAAUUCUUAUUGGAGAAUUACUUAUUACUUGGCAUAUAGUGCAAGCUGUGUUUCCUCUGUGAUCCUCCUUGAGCAAUAUAAGCUCACUCAAUUCCUACAGAGUAGGUAACUUUGAGUAACAAGUAUUACUAUGUAACAAGAGUUCAGAGAGUUCAAUAUUUUUCCCUUUGGUUUCCCUGAAGUUCAUCACAAAAUUGCUCCAGGUCUGCUUUGAUGAAAGGCACAGAUUCCUUGCAGGCAAAAUCCUGGCAGCACACAGAAAAAUAAAUUCAUAGUUUCCAUUUUUAAUUCUGCACUUCCUGUUGCAUGUAUUUGCUCUCAAACCACUUCAUUUAAAUGAUGGAAUACAGUCCAUUAGAACAAAAAAUAAAAAGGUCUGCAGUCUUGCAAUGAGUACAUGCAGCCAAAUGAACCAUGAGGCACAAAGCCCAGCAAAUGGGUUGUGUGAGGGUGGAAUCACUGAGGGCUGCAGAAAGUUGAAAGAAUUGAAGAAAAUGUUUGUGACCGUUUGAUAUAGCCCAGCUAUUUGACAUAUGACCAGUGAACCAUCCAAAGUGGGGUUGGUAAGGUAGAUUCAAUGAGGAAGUACAAUCAUUUAUCAGUAUGAAUUGUUAUAAUUAGUUGUUUCCUCUUCAAUUCUUUUCUAAGAACUCAGCAGUAUCUUCAGUAUAAGUUUAAUGUGCUAUAGAGGAUGGGUAAAUGUUGUAGUCAUGGAAUGAAAAUGGCUGUAUAUGUUGCAACACAUCGCUUGUGUAUUCUUUCAUGUAAUUAGAAAUUAAAUAAUCAAGAUUUGUUUUCCUUUUGGUCAUGUUAAGAGAGAGGUUAAUUCAUACAGUCCCUAAGUACUUCCAUGUGUGUUCCCCCUUAGCUAAAAUGCAUAUCAGUUUUGCAGGUGACUGAAGAGUGGUUACAAUACAAAUUAUUUAAGGCUUAAAAAAUGAGAUGACAUUUGAAAUGUGUCAUUGUUAAUAAAAAAAAAUUGUUCUGAUGUUAUGCCCACCCACACAUGUCUAACUUUGUCCAUCUACCUUUUUUAAUCUUUCUUUUUUAUCCUAGAGGAAUAUCCUUUGUCAUCCUCCUCAACUGCCAUCUUAAUUUAAUCAUGAAAGCAACAAGAGAACAUGCAGGUCCAGAAAUGCUAUG